rnacentral:rRNA from 1 species
AGUUCGAUCCUGGCUCAGAUUGAACGCUGGCGGGAUGCUUACAUGCAAGUCGAACGGCAGCACGGACUUCGGUCUGGUGGCGAGUGGCGAACAGGUGAGUAAUGUGUGGAACGCGUGCCUGGUAGCGGGGGAUAACUACGCGAAAGCGUAGCUAAUACCGCAUACGCCCUUCGAGGAAAGCGGGGGGACCUUCGGGCCUCGCACUAUUGAGCGGCCGAUAUCGGAUUAGCUAGUUGGUGGGGUAACAGCUCGCAAGGCGACGAUCGUAGCUGGUUUUGAGAGGACGACCAGCCACACUGGGACUGGUCGGCCCAGACUCCUACGGGAGGCAGCAGUGAAAUUUUGGACAAUGGAAACCCUGAUCCAGCCAUCCGCGUGUGCGAUGAAGGCCUUCGGGUUGUAAAGCACUUUUGGCAGGAAGAAACGGCACGGGAUAAUACCCCGUGCAACUGACGGUACCUGCAGAAUAAGCACCGGCUAACUACGUGCCAGCAGCCGCGGUAAUACAUGGGGUGCAAGCGUUAAUCAGAUUACUGGGCGUAAAGCGUGCGCAGGCGGUUCGGAAAGAAAGAUGUGAAAUCCCAGAGCUUAACUGGAACUGCAUUUUUAACUACCGAGCUAGAGUGUGUCAGAGGUGGAAUUCACGUGUAGCAGUGAAAUGCGUAGUAUGCGGAAGACACCGAUGAAGGCAAUAUCUGGACACUAACGCUACGCCUUUAGCGGCAUGGGAGCAACGGACGAGGUACCGGCUGGUCACGCCUAAACGGCGUCAACAGCAUGGAGGUGCACCGGCGGUACGGCGCGCUGCUGUGGGUUGACCGCCUGGGGAUCUGGUCCGCAGGAUACAUCAAAGUUGUUGGGACCGCAGCGGUGGUGUAUGGAUAUUCGAUGCAUACCGAAAACCUUACUUCCUUACCGACAUGUCCCAGAAUCCCGAAGGAUUACGGGAGUGCUCGCCAGAAACCGGAACACAGGUGCUGCAUGGCUGUCGUCAGCUCGUGUCGUGAGAUGUUGGGUUAAGUCCCGCAACGAGCGCAACCCUUGUCAUUAGUUGCUACGAAGGGCACUCUAAUGAGACUGCCGGUGACAAACCGGAGGAAGGUGGGGAUGACGUCAAGUCCUCAUGGCCCUUAUGGGUAGGGCUUCACACGUCAUACAAUGGUCGGGACAGAGGGUCGCCAACCCGCGAGGAGCCAAUCCCAGAAACCCGAUCGUAGUCCGGAUCGCAGUCUGCAACUCGACUGCGUGAAGUCAGAAUCCGCUAGUAAUCGCGGAUCAGCAUGUCGCGGUGAAUACGUUCCCGGGUCUUGUACACCGCCCGUCACACCAUGGGAGUGGGUUUUACCAGAAGUAGUUAGCCUAACCGUAAGGAGGGCGAUUACCACGGUAGGAUUCAUGACUGGGGCAAGUCGUAACACAAAAUU